rnacentral:rRNA from 1 species
CCUAACACAUGCAAGUCGAACGGUAACAGGAAACAGCUUGCUGUUUCGCUGACGAGUGGCGGACGGGUGAGUAAUGUCUGGGAAACUGCCUGAUGGAGGGGGAUAACUACUGGAAACGGUAGCUAAUACCGCAUAACGUCGCAAGACCAAAGAGGGGGACCUUCGGGCCUCUUGCCAUCAGAUGUGCCCAGAUGGGAUUAGCUAGUAGGUGGGGUAACGGCUCACCUAGGCGACGAUCCCUAGCUGGUCUGAGAGGAUGACCAGCCACACUGGAACUGAGACACGGUCCAGACUCCUACGGGAGGCAGCAGUGGGGAAUAUUGCACAAUGGGCGCAAGCCUGAUGCAGCCAUGCCGCGUGUAUGAAGAAGGCCUUCGGGUUGU